CAAAUAUAGUCAAGGCCGUCACAAAUGAUAACGACUCUCCAAAAUGUCUGUCUCUGGUGCUCCAUUUUCUCAAGCCGCUGUCCCCCACUCAACGUUGACUCUCUCCGCCAGCCUUGGUCGCACUAUUCAGUUUGUUGUUGGUCGCCUUCUCCGCUUCUGGGACUCCCGUAACAUAAAAAAAAAUUGUGAAUUUAUGGGGAUCAUGCUCCUCUUCCUAGAUGAAAAGUUAACGAGAUCUUUCUUCUAUCACCACUGAUCUAUUGCUUCUGUCAUAUAAUCGAUUGUCUAACUCUUUCCUCAUAUGUCUCUUCUGUAUGAAUCUGCAGGAUUCCGUGAUCUACAGAUUCAUCCCGGCUGGUCUUGCCAAUCACUACCGUCCCUCAUUGCUUGCUGGUUCGAUUGUGAAAGUCCAUCGGUUUGAAGAUUCAUCCAAUCAUAGGAUUGGCCAGGGAAAUAGUGGUCAAGAAACAUCUCUGAAACAUGUUUAUCGAGGCAAUGCGAUGUUAGGUCGAUCCAAAGUUGUAUACAGGUUUCUCUUCGCAGGCCUAAUUCAACCAUAUGAUGCAAAAGAACUUUGCUAUGUUCUGGAAACAGAGAAAUGAAUGAAGGGUCAGAAGCUUUGAUGCAGAGGUUAAAGCAUUGAGAGAAAGAAAGAAAACGGGAGGCUGACAUGGAAACAGAAAAUCAGUGAAGAAAGAUCUUGAUACAAAACUGCACACAGAACAAUGUAAUAUGUAGAGAUAGUGGACAUGAUUCUUUUUUUUCAUUGUGCAAAGAUGUAGAAAACCUUGAUCGCUGUGAUGGACUCGGUUAUGAAUCUAAUGAAAGAAGUUGAACUUGAAGAGAAGGAUGUGGAGAUGUCAGUGUUAGAAACUGUUAGGGGAGGUUUGGAUACUCUUGAAAAAGGUUGACGAGUUCAAGAAGAUGCUGAAACAUGCCAAGGAAGCAAAUGACAUGCAUGCUGGAGAAGUAUAUGGAGAUAAGUCAAUUUUGGCAACUGAAGCAAAAGAGCUUGAAAACCGAUUGCUCAACUUAUCAGAAGAACAAAACAAAUCGCUUCAUGUCCUUGAUGAGGCAUGUCCUUUGUAGAUGCAUGAAACUCUUGAGAUAAGACUAGAGGCAUCAUUGCAGAUGAAAAAGGCUACUGAGCAAGAAAAUAAAGCAAAAGUCGACUCUGCACUUAAUUCACUUGCUUAGGAAGAGGUCAUAAUGGAGAAAGUAGUCCAAGAAUCAAAGCUUCUUCAGCAAGAAAGAAGCAGAGCAAAACUCCAAGCUUUGAGAGUUUCUUAUGGAUCGUGGUCAGGUCGUUGAUUCCUUACAGUAGUCCCAUUCUUUUCAUGCGGAUAUUCGUUUCAAAUAGAUCUCUAAUCUCUUCUUGGUUCUAUGAGCAGAGGAGAAAUUUAUGUCAUAUGUCAAGAUGUGAAACUGUUGAAAGAAAAUUUGACAAGAUGUCAAAAAAAAAAUCAGCCACCUCAUGCGGAACAUCUAUGAGGAGGUUUGUGCUUGAGACUCCUAAACACUUCACAAAUACGGCAUCACCUGCACACAUAUAAAAAAAACAACUCCGUCCGUGACCCCGCGCAAGCGCUCCACUGCUAGUACUAUAAAGUACAUUUUUGUCUUUCCAUAGAGCUUUUCAUGAUAAGUGUCAUUAUAUCAUUUGUUGGAGGAUUUUUUUUUUUCAAAUUGCUUUUGGGUCCAAUUUUAUUGUUUGGCCCAUUUUCUCUAACCUAAUCGCAGAGUUUGCCCCGUUCAA